GUGGUGGCUCAUGCCUGUAAUCCCAGCACUUUGGGAGGCUGAGGCGGGUGGAUCACAUGAGGUCAGGAGUUCGAGAACAGCCUAGCCAACAUGGCAAAACCCCAUCUCUACUAAAAAUACAAAAAUUAGCCAGGAGUGGUGGCACAUGCCUGUAAUCCCAGCUAUUCGGGAGGCCAAGGCAGGAGAAUCGCUUGAACCCAGGAGGCAGGGGUUGCAGUGAGCCAAGAUGGCACCACUGCACUCCAGCCUGGGUGACAGAACGAGAUUCCAUUUAAAAGAAAAAAAAAGAGAAAUCUAAUCCUGGAUGAGAGUCCAGGGAAAGUGAGAGUGGAGCAAGCUUACAUGAAAACGCAGACCAGAUCCCUGAGUGUGGACCUGGAUAACGUGACACACGUCAUCAGAUUCAGAUUAAGUGGUAUCGCCUGAAGUUUCAUCAGCCUUCGGUGUGGAGUUGGCCUGAUGUCCCCCAAGAUGAAUAGACUUGUCUCUCCCAAAGAAGCUUCUUCCACUCUGAUAAAAGAAAGGAAAAAUAGGCAAAGCCACAGACAAUGUGAUGAGUAUUAUAAUAAGAGAUUUGUUUAGUUUGGCUCCAAACAUAGGAGGGAGUAGCCAACUAUAUCUGGGGUCAACCAGAAGUAGAGAAGUAGGCCCUGGCUGGAGGAGAAAGAUUUUACCAGGCAGAGGGAACAGUGUGUGCAAAGGCCCUGAGGUUUGAAUCAACCUGGAAUGCUAAGAAAAACAUGCACGGACAUCUGUGUAGCUGGAGUAAAGAUACGAGAAGAGGCUGGUGAGGUGGGCAGAGAGCUGAUCUGAAAGAACUCCAAUCUCAAGGUAAAGAUAUCAUUCAUUCCUUCCUUCCUUCCUUCAUUCAUUCAACAAAUCUUACUGAGAAAUGAAUAAACACCUGUAAGUGUCCAUUCCAGUGAGGAUAAAUUGCUACCCAGGAGCGAGAGGGAAUAGUGUGAUGUCUUAUGGGUUGAUAAGAUGACCAAGGUCCCAGACAGUCUAGAGGGAAUCACACCUUCUAUCACUGUUGGAGUAAAGAACACUCUUCAUUCAGGCUAACUUCUACAGGCAAAACGCCUUUUCCUGUAGAUUUCCAGUUCAUUAGCUGAAUACCAGGUGCCAGGGGCUGUGUUGAUUUGCUGAAGGAGACCUUACCCUGAGAAGACCAGCCACCUCCGAAGGUUAUGUGCCUGCUCCCUCUUCACCUUCGGCCAUGAGUGGAAAAGCUCCCUGAGGCCUGCCCAGAAGCUGAGCAGAUGCCAGCACCAUGCUUCCUGUACAGCCUGCAGAGCCGCGAGCCAAUUAAAUCUCUCUUCUUUAUAAAUUA